GACGAGGGGUCCUAGCGUUGUUCGGAAUUACUGGGCGUAAAGCGCGUGUAGGCGGCUUUUCAAGUCAGAUGUGAAAUCCCAUGGCUUAACCAUGGAAUUGCAUUUGAUACUGGGAGGCUUGAGUGCGAGAGGGGAUAGUGGAAUUCCUGGUGUAGUGGUGAAAUACGUAGAUAUCAGGAGGAACAUCGGUGGCGAAGGCGGCUAUCUGGAUCGCAACUGACGCUGAGACGCGAAAGCGUGGGGAUCAAACAGG
rnacentral:misc_RNA from 1 species